rnacentral:rRNA from 1 species
CCUACGGGUGGCUGCAGUGAGGAAUAUUGGUCAAUGGCCGGAAGGCUGAACCAGCCAUGCCGCGUGAAGGGCAGGGACCUAGGGGCGUUAAACUUCUUGUGUGCGGGAGCAAGAAUGGUCACGUGGGGCCAGACGAGAGUACCGUACGAAUAAGCAUCGGCUAACUCCGGGCCAGCAGCCGCGGGAAGACGGGGGAUGCAAGCGUUAGCCGGAGUUAUUGGGUUUAAAGGGUGCGUCAGCUGUGAGGUAAGUCAGCGGGGAAAUGCCCCCGCUCAACGGGGUGAAGUGCCCUUGAUACUGCCUUGCUGGACUGCGGAUGCCGUGGGCGGCAUGUGUGGUGUAGCGGU